rnacentral:rRNA from 1 species
UUAAAUUGAAGAGUUUGAUCAUGGCUCAGAUUGAACGCUGGCGGCAGGCCUAACACAUGCAAGUCGAACGGUAACAGGAAGCAGCUUGCUGCUUUGCUGACGAGUGGCGGACGGGUGAGUAAUGUCUGGGAAACUGCCUGAUGGAGGGGGAUAACUACUGGAAACGGUGGCUAAUACCGCAUAACGUCGCAAGACCAAAGAGGGGGACCUUCGGGCCUCUUGCCAUCAGAUGUGCCCAGAUGGGAUUAGCUUGUUGGUGAGGUAACGGCUCACCAAGGCGACGAUCCCUAGCUGGUCUGAGAGGAUGACCAGCCACACUGGAACUGAGACACGGUCCAGACUCCUACGGGAGGCAGCAGUGGGGAAUAUUGCACAAUGGGCGCAAGCCUGAUGCAGCCAUGCCGCGUGUAUGAAGAAGGCCUUCGGGUUGUAAAGUACUUUCAGCGGGGAGGAAGGUGUUGUGGUUAAUAACC